UUUCCGUAGGUGAACCUGCGGAAGGAUCAUUAUUGUAUAACCGAGGUGCGAGGGCUGUCGCUGACCCGAAAGGUCGUGCACGCUCGAGUUCCCUCACACACAUCCAUUUCACCCCUAUAUCCACCACCGCGUGGGUCCCCCUUUGGCUUUUUCGGAGGGGGGCUUACGUUUUCACACAAACUUUGUAUGCAGUGGAGAAUGUAUUUUUUGUUUUAGCGAUCAAGCAUUCAAUACAACUUUCAACAACGGAUCUCUUGGCUCUC
rnacentral:misc_RNA from 1 species